rnacentral:rRNA from 1 species
AACGGUAACAGGAAAGCAGCUUGCUGCUUYGCUGACGAGUGGCGGACGGGUGAGUAAUGUCUGGGAAACUGCCUGAUGGAGGGGGAUAACUACUGGAAACGGUAGCUAAUACCGCAUAACGUCGCAAGACCAAAGAGGGGGACCUUCGGGCCUCUUGCCAUCGGAUGUGCCCAGAUGGGAUUAGCUAGUAGGUGGGGUAACGGCUCACCUAGGCGACGAUCCCUAGCUGGUCUGAGAGGAUGACCAGCCACACUGGAACUGAGACACGGUCCAGACUCCUACGGGAGGCAGCAGUGGGGAAUAUUGCACAAUGGGCGCAAGCCUGAUGCAGCCAUGCCGCGUGUAUGAAGAAGGCCUUCGGGUUGUAAAGUACUUUCAGCGGGGAGGAAGGGAGUAAAGUUAAUACCUUUGCUCAUUGACGUUACCCGCAGAAGAAGCACCGGCUAACUCCGUGCCAGCAGCCGCGGUAAUACGGAGGGUGCAAGCGUUAAUCGGAAUUACUGGGCGUAAAGCGCACGCAGGCGGUUUGUUAAGUCAGAUGUGAAAUCCCCGGGCUCAACCUGGGAACUGCAUCUGAUACUGGCAAGCU